GACGAACGCUGGCGGCGUGCUUAACACAUGCAAGUCGAACGGAAAGGCCUGCUUUCCCUUGUGGAUUGCGGGUGCUCGAGUGGCGAACGGGUGAGUAACACGUGAGUGAUCUGCCCCCAACUUGGGUAUAAGCCUGGGAAACUGGGUCUAAUUCCCGAUAGGACUGCAGGGUGGUGCCUGUGGUGGAAAACGAUUUUCUAGUGGUUGGGGAUGGGCUCGCGGCCUAUCAGCUUGUUGGUGGGGUAAUGGCCUACCAAGGCGGCGACGGGUAGCCGGCCUGAGAGGGUGGACGGCCACAUUGGGACUGAGAUACGGCCCAGACUCCUACGGGAGGCAGCAGUGGGGAAUAUUGCACAAUGGGCGGAAGCCUGAUGCAGCGACGCCGCGUGGGGGAUGACGGCCUUCGGGUUGUAAACUCCUUUCGACCGCGAGGAAGCCACCUGGUUGGAAGGGUGGUGACGGUAGUGGUAGAAGAAGCACCGGCUAACUACGUG
rnacentral:rRNA from 1 species